UACGUAGGGACCAAGCGUUGUUCGGAUUUACUGGGCGUAAAGGGCGCGUAGGCGGCAAUUCAAGUCAGUUGUGAAAUCUCCGAGCUUAACUCGGAACGGUCAACUGAUACUGUUUUUGCUAGAGUACAGAAGGGGCAAUCGGAAUCCUUGGUGUAGCGGUGAAAUGCGUAGAUAUCAAGAGGAACACCUGAGGUGAAGACGGGUUGCUGGGCUGAUACUGACGUGAGGAGCGAAAGCAUGGGGGAGCGAACAGG
rnacentral:rRNA from 1 species